GACAGAGGGUGCAAGCGUUGUUCGGAAUUACUGGGCGUAAAGUGUGCGCAGGUGGCUUCGCAAGUCGAGUGUGAAAUCCCCGGGCUUAACCUGGGAAUUGCGCUCGAAACUACGGAGCUGGAGUAUGGCAGAGGGAGGUGGAAUUCCACGUGUAGCGGUGAAAUGCGUAGAGAUGUGGAGGAACACCAAUGGCGAAGGCAGCCUCCUGGGCCAAUACUGACACUCAUGCACGAAAGCGUGGGGAGCAAACAGG
rnacentral:rRNA from 1 species